UACAGAGGGGGCAAGCGUUAUUCGGAAUUAUUGGGCGUAAAGGGCGCGUAGGCGGCUAUGCAAGUGGCGGGUGAAAUCCCUCGGCUUAACCGAGGAACUGCCUGCCAGACUGCAUGGCUCGAGACCGGGAGAGGUGAGUGGAAUUCCCAGUGUAGCGGUGAAAUGCGUAGAUAUUGGGAGGAACACCAGUGGCGAAGGCGGCUCACUGGACCGGAACUGACGCUGAGGCGCGAAAGCGUGGGGAGCAAACAGG
rnacentral:rRNA from 1 species